rnacentral:rRNA from 1 species
UACGGAGGGUGCAAGCGUUAUCCGGAUUCACUGGGUUUAAAGGGUGCGUAGGUGGGCAGGUAAGUCAGUGGUGAAAUCUCCGGGCUUAACCCGGAAACUGCCAUUGAUACUAUCUGUCUUGAAUACCGUGGAGGUGAGCGGAAUAUGUCAUGUAGCGGUGAAAUGCUUAGAUAUGACAUAGAACGCCAAUUGCGAAGGCAGCUCACUACACGAAUAUUGACACUGAGGCACGAAAGCGUGGGGAUCAAACAGG